AGACAGCAGUAGCCGCGGUAAUACGUAGGUGGCAAGCGUUAUCCGGAAUUAUUGGGCGUAAAGCGCGCGCAGGCGGUUUCUUAAGUCUGAUGUGAAAGCCCACGGCUCAACCGUGGAGGGUCAUUGGAAACUGGGGAACUUGAGUGCAGAAGAGAAAAGCGGAAUUCCACGUGUAGCGGUGAAAUGCGUAGAGAUGUGGAGGAACACCAGUGGCGAAGGCGGCUUUUUGGUCUGUAACUGACGCUGAGGCGCGAAAGCGUGGGGAGCAAACAGGAUUAGAUACCCCAGUAGUCCCUGUCUCUUAUAC
rnacentral:rRNA from 1 species